GCCGAAAUGGUGGAAUGGCAGACGCGGCGGACUCAAAAUCCGCUGAUGGCAACAUCGUGUGGGUUCAAGUCCCACUUUCGGCACCA
rnacentral:tRNA from 1 species